GACGAACGCUGGCGGCGUGCUUAACACAUGCAAGUCGAACGGAAAGGCCCUGCUUUUGUGGGGUGCUCGAGUGGCGAACGGGUGAGUAACACGUGAGUAACCUGCCCUUGACUUUGGGAUAACUUCAGGAAACUGGGGCUAAUACCGGAUAGGAGCUCCUGCUGCAUGGUGGGGGUUGGAAAGUUUCGGCGGUUGGGGAUGGACUCGCGGCUUAUCAGCUUGUUGGUGGGGUAGUGGCUUACCAAGGCUUUGACGGGUAGCCGGCCUGAGAGGGUGACCGGCCACAUUGGGAAUGAGAUACGGCCCAGACUCCUACGGGAGGCAGCAGUGGGGAAUAUUGCACAAUAGGCGGAAGCCUGAUGCAGCAACGCCGCGUGCGGGAUAACGGCCUUCGGGUUGUAAACCGCUUUCGCCUGUGACGAAGCGUGAGUGACGGUAAUGGGUAAAGAAGCACCGGCUAACUACGUG
rnacentral:rRNA from 1 species